UGUCCUCUGGCCAUCGCCCUCUCUGUUAACGCCCAUCACUGCAAAGACCCUUUUCCUUCAUCGGCGUUUGCUGUUCUUCCUGCCAGUGCGUGUUGCUUUCACUUACACUUGCCACAGCCAGCCUCGUGAGUGCCUAGCCUAUUGGAUAUCACUGUCACCUACACAGGACAGUCAUUACCUUUCUAUUAAUACUUUGUGUUUUAAUUUCACAUUAAUUUCCAUAUUGUAUAAACGACUGGAAAAAACUUGAGCCCCUGCCCCUGUAUAAUCAUGUGCAUGUCUCUGUUCUAGCUCCAAGGUGAAUCUUCACUGCUCAUGUUCUCCUCAGAAGCACUCACCUCACUCCCCUCAGGUUACUGUACACAUGCACCAACUGCCUGCUUCAGGUUUGGAUGGAGCUUCAUGGUUGUCUUUUGGAGAAAUGACCAGUCAAGUUGUGUUUGAAAUUUGAUUUUUUUCAGGGGCAAAAGGAGCCUCUGCAUUCUUGUCAAAUAUGUAAAUAGCAUGUUUUUGCAGGUGCUAAAAACCAGACUCUGAGUGUGUGUGUGUGUGUGUGUGUGUGUGUGUGUGUGUGUGUGUGUGUGUGUGUGUGUGCGUGUGUGUGUGUCUAUGUGUGCGUUCAAGUCACAUGACAUAUUUAACCGGAUGUAGCUGCAAGACGGAGCCUCGUUGACUCUCCGUUUCAACUUAUCUCAAAAGUGAGGACCUCAACCUAUAUACCAGUUUUUAAAUUGUGUUGAUAGGCCAAAUAAAACCAGAGUUAUGAUAAAUUAUGUCCGCGAUACUUUUUUUCUGCUUAUUUUGAUCACGUUCGGCGCUCGAUCGCGCUGUAUGAGACAGGAAAACAUAGCAUGCAGACAUUAGCGACAGGUCUUACAGGCGGAAAAGGCUUGCCAAAAGAAAAAAAAAACACACCACAACAUCUCUCCUAUUGGUGGAAAACUUCACCACAACAACCAAUCCAAAAUUAUAUGGUGACUGAUUGACAAGGGGCGGGCGCUUACGUUCUUCCUGCAACAUGAGAAGGGAGGGAGGGACUCUCAGCAGGGAUGCAGUCUGGGACACGUAGUUGCAAACCUAGCGACUUUGUUGUUAGAUUCAAUGACUUUUCAGACACCCUAACGACUUUUUUUAGAAAGAAAGGGACUUUUAUCGACUUCUUCUGGAGUUUAGAGACUCUGACAUGAAGCAGGCUUUCCUUACUGAGGAGUUAGCAACGCUGCUAAGGGUGCAGAGCCACACAUGCGCUCAGAGCUCUGCAUGGGAGACUGAAGCUGACAGAGCUGCAGCAGUUAGCAGGUUUCACCCUCAGAGACCACCAGGGGUUCAUGUUGAGGCAUUUUAAUUUUUUUUUUUUUUGUGCCAUAGACACUGUCAGCACAAUCUGCAGUUACACUAACAAAAAUGCUGCAAAAAACAAAUAAUUAUGGAAAAAUUACACAUGGACUGACAUAGAGGAGGAUCUACACAAGUUUUUUACAUCAUGUUUUACAUCAUGCAUCAUUUACAUCAUGUUUUUUUGUAGUGGCAUAAAUAAAAAGUGACAUUUGUGAGACUAUACAGUGUUUUGUAAAUAAUUUUACAAAGAACGCCUGGGCCAUUGCCUGCAUUUUGAUGUAAAUAGAGGUAAAUUACUAUGUUCUUUGUUAAAAAUUUGCAUAUGUUUUGAAGUUUACAAUUUUUAUUUGAAGUUUAAGUUUUAAAAACAGUUCAUCACACAUAUUUGUGGUUUAAUUUCACAUUAAUUUCCAUAUUGUAUAAAUGACUGGAAAAAUCUUGAGCCCCUGCCCCUGUAUAAUCAUGUGCACGUCCCUGUUCUAGCUCCAAGGUGAAUCUUCACUGCUCAUGUUCUCCUCAGAAAUAGUCACCUCACUCCCCUCAGGUUACUGUACACAUGCACCAACUAUCUGCUUCAGGUUUGAAAUGGAGCUUCAUGGUUGUCUUUUGGAGAAAUGAACAGUCAAGUUGUGUUUGAAAUUUGAUUUUUUUCAGGGGCAAAAGGAAGCCUCUGCAUUCUUGUCAAAUAUGUAAACAGCAUGUUUUUGCAGGUGCUAAAAAACAGACUCUGAGUGUGUGUGUGUGUCUGUGUGUGUGUGUGUGUGUGUGUGUGUGUGUGUGUGUAUGUUGGCGUGUGUGUAUAUGUGUGUGUAUCCUGCAGUACUCUGUACUCCUGCAGUGGCCAAAAAGACUUUUAAGAAUGUGGAUUUUUGGGUCAUCUUUGGCGCCCCCUAGAACUGCAGUACUCUGUACUCCUGCAGUGGCCAAAAUGACUUUUAAGAAUGUGGAUUUUUGGGUCAUCUUUGGCGCCCCCUAGAACGUAAACCGUGGGGUGCAGCGUCAUGAUUUUUACAACUUUGAAUGGGCAUGGGGUGUAGAUUGCCCUGAGCAAAUUUGGUAUCGGUGGGACGAAAGCCUUAGGAGGAGAUAGCCACAUUCCAAUGUGUGCGAAUCGGCAAAAAAUGCAAAAUAGCCCUUUAACCGUACAUUAUACAGAUACGCGCUCUUUGACUUUUUCGUAGAUCUAAUUGAGAUACACAUGAUUGUCAAUUUUUGUGUCAAUAUGACAAAGCGUUCAGGCGUGACACUCAACAAUGU
rnacentral:lncRNA from 1 species